rnacentral:rRNA from 1 species
UACGUAGGGCGCAAGCGUUGUCCGGAAUUAUUGGGCGUAAAGAGCUCGUAGGCGGUUUGUCACGUCGGCUGUGAAAACCCGAGGCUCAACCUCGGGCCUGCAGUCGAUACGGGCAGACUAGAGUGCUGUAGGGGAGACUGGAAUUCCUGGUGUAGCGGUGAAAUGCGCAGAUAUCGGGAGGAACACCGGUGGCGAAGGCGGUUCUCUGGGCCUUACCUGACGCUGAGGAGCGAAAGCGUGGGGAGCGAACAGG